CCAGACUCCUACGGGAGGCAGCAGUGAGGAAUAUUGGUCAAUGGUCGGGAGACUGAACCAGCCAAGUCGCGUGGGGGAAGACGGCCCUACGGGUUGUAAACCUCUUUUGUCGGGGAGCAAAGAGAGUCACGUGUGACUCAUUGAGAGUACCCGAAGAAAAAGCAUCGGCUAACUCCGUGCCAGCAGCCGCGGUAAUACGGAGGAUGCGAGCGUUAUCCGGAUUUAUUGGGUUUAAAGGGUGCGUAGGCGGGCUGUUAAGUGGGGGGUAAAAGCCCGGGGCUCACCCCCGGCGAGCCGUUGAAACUGGCUGUCUUGAGAUGUCGAGAGGUAUGCGGAAUGCGCAGUGUAGCGGUGAAAUGCUUAGAUAUUGCGCAGAACUCCGAUUGCGAAGGCAGCAUACCGGCGGCGAUCUGACGCUGAGGCACGAAAGCGUGGGUAUCGAACAGGAUUAGAUACCCUGGUAGU
rnacentral:rRNA from 1 species